UACGGGGGGAGCAAGCGUUGUUCGGAUUUACUGGGCGUAAAGGGCGCGUAGGCGGUUAGCACAAUUCAGUUGUGAAAUCUCCGGGCUUAACUCGGAAAGGUCAACUGAUACUGUGCGACUAGAGUGCAGAAGGGGCAACUGGAAUUCUCGGUGUAGCGGUGAAAUGCGUAGAUAUCGAGAGGAACACCUGCGGCGAAGGCGGGUUGCUGGGCUGACACUGACGCUGAGGAGCGAAAGCGUGGGGAGCGAACAGG
rnacentral:rRNA from 1 species